GGGCCUGUGGCUUAGUUCGGUAUAGCACCGCCCUUGCAAGGCGGGGGCCCCGGGUUCAAAUCCCGGCGGGUCCA
rnacentral:tRNA from 1 species